rnacentral:rRNA from 1 species
AAACGGCGGCCGUAACUAUAACGGUCCUAAGGUAGCGAAAUUCCUUGUCGGGUAAGUUCCGACCUGCACGAAUGGCGUAAUGAUGGCCAGGCUGUCUCCACCCGAGACUCAGUGAAAUUGAACUCGCUGUGAAGAUGCAGUGUACCCGCGGCAAGACGGAAAGACCCCGUGAACCUUUACUAUAGCUUGACACUGAACAUUGAGCCUUGAUGUGUAGGAUAGGUGGGAGGCUUUGAAGUGUGGACGCCAGUCUGCAUGGAGCCGACCUUGAAAUACCACCCUUUAAUGUUUGAUGUUCUAACGUUGACCCGUAUCCGGGUUGCGGACAGUGUCUGGUGGGUAGUUUGACUGGGGCGGUCUCCUCCUAAAGAGUAACGGAGGAGCACGAAGGUUGGCUAAUCCUGGUCGGACAUCAGGAGGUUAGUGCAAUGGCAUAAGCCAGCUUGACUGCGAGCGUGACGGCGCGAGCAGGUGCGAAAGCAGGUCAUAGUGAUCCGGUGGUUCUGAAUGGAAGGGCCAUCGCUCAACGGAUAAAAGGUACUCCGGGGAUAACAGGCUGAUACCGCCCAAGAGUUCAUAUCGACGGCGGUGUUUGGCACCUCGAUGUCGGCUCAUCACAUCCUGGGGCUGAAGUAGGUCCCAAGGGUAUGGCUGUUCGCCAUUUAAAGUGGUACGCGAGCUGGGUUUAGAACGUCGUGAGACAGUUCGGUCCCUAUCUGCCGUGGGCGCUGGAGAACUGAGGGGGGCUGCUCCUAGUACGAGAGGACCGGAGUGGACGCAUCACUGGUGUUCGGGUUGUCAUGCCAAUGGCACUGCCCGGUAGCUAAAUGCGGAAGAGAUAAGUGCUGAAAGCAUCUAAGCACGAAACUUGCCCCGAGAUGAGUUCUCCCUGACUCCUUGAGAGUCCUGAAGGAACGUUGAAGACGACGACGUUGAUAGGCCGGGUGUGUAAGCGCAGCGAUGCGUUGAGCUAACCGGUACUAAUGAACCGUGAGGCUUAACCU